GGCUCCGUAGUGAAGUUCAUAAUGAGUUGCAAGCUCGUUGAUGCAUGUUAAAGCGUGCCGGGGUCU
rnacentral:tRNA from 1 species